AGGAUUAACGUUGGCGGCGUGCCUGACACAUGCAAGUCGAACGAGGCCGCAAGGCCGAGUGGCGGACGGGUGAGUAACACGUGACCAACCAACCUCGAAGUUGGGAAUAGCUCUGCGAAAGUAGGGGUAAUACCGAAUGUGGCCCAGGGCGGGCAUCCGCCUUGGUCUAAAGAUUCAUCGCUUCGAGACGGGGUCGCGGCCUAUUAGCUUGUUGGUGAGGUAACGGCUCACCAAGGCGAUGAUGGGUAGCUGGUCUGAGAGGACGACCAGCCACACUGGGACUGAGACACGGCCCAGACUCCUACGGGAGGCAGCAGUGAGGAAUCUUCCGCAAUGGGCGAAAGCCUGACGGAGCAACGCCGCGUGUGGGAUGAAAGACUCUAGGGUUGUAAACCACUGUCGGAGGGGACGAUCGUGACGGUACCCUCCAAGAAAGCCCCGGCUAACUACGUGCCAGCAGCCGC
rnacentral:rRNA from 1 species